rnacentral:rRNA from 1 species
GACGAACGCUGGCGGCGUGCUUAACACAUGCAAGUCGAGCGGAGCGGCGAACGGGUGAGUAACGCGUGAGUAACUGCCCCCCUCUCUGGGAUAACAGUUGGAAACGGCUGCUAAUACCGGAUAGUGUGGGAUGACUCGGGUCCUAUCAGCUUGUUGGUGGGGUAGUGGCCUACCAAGGCGAGGAAGGGUAGCCGGCCUGGGAGGUGGACCGGCCACAUUGGGCUGAGAUACGGCGCAGACUCGUACGGGAGGCAGCAGUGGGGAAUAUUGCACAAUCGGGGAAACCGUGAUGCAGCAACGUCGCGUGCGUGAUGACGGUCUUCGGGUUGUAAAGCGCUUUCAGCCAUGACGCGGUAGUGGCAGAAGAAGCACCGGCUAACUACGUGCCAGCAGCCGCGGUAAUUC